rnacentral:rRNA from 1 species
GACGAACGCUGGCGGCGUGCUUAACACAUGCAAGUCGAACGAUGAAGCCCAGCUUGCUGGGUGGAUUAGUGGCGAACGGGUGAGUAACACGUGGGCAACCUGCCCCAAACUCUGGGAUAACUCCUCGAAAGAGGUGCUAAUACCGGAUACGAACUAGACAGACAUCUGUACUAGUUGGAAAGUUUUUCGGUUUGGGAUGGGCCCGCGGCCUAUCAGCUUGUUGGUGAGGUAACGGCUCACCAAGGCUACGACGGGUAACCGGCCUGAGAGGGCGACCGGUCACACUGGGACUGAGGCAGUGCCCAGACUCCUACGGGAGGCAGCAGUGGGGAAUAUUGCGCAAUGGGCGAAAGCCUGACGCAGCGACGCCGCGUGAGGGAUGAAGGUCUUCGGAUCGUAAACCUCUUUCAGUAGGGACGAAGCGAAAGUGACGGUACCUAAAGAAGAGGCACCGGCUACCUACGUGCCAGCCGCCGCCGUAA